rnacentral:lncRNA from 1 species
AGUCUUCCCCCAAUCCCAUCUCCUCCCUCCUCCUCCCUUCCCCAUAACCCACCUUCAACCCUAAUCCCCUUCCGUCCCCCUUAAACCCUAAUCCUAAUAUCCUUUCCCCCCGUCCAACAACGUCGUGCUCUUCUUCUUCCUCUUCUUAUUCUCUGUUCGUCGCAGGAAUCUCCUGGCGGACGAGCACACAGCUCCCCUGGGAGAAUGGCGUCGGUUGAAGGUAUCUGUCGUACUUCUGCUUUCUUCUCGGACUCGCUCGGGCAAGCCUUUGUCGGGCAGAUCUUGGUCGGGCAAGACACACUUCAGGCAAGGCUCGUCAGACAGUUCUGAAAGAGAAGGACAGAGUUAAUUUGAAAGGGUGCCUUGUGGGGCCUUAGAUGUAGGCCUUAAGGCUCACAAUCAAGAUUAACUUUGUCGUGCUCAGGCGUGCCACUGCCAUCUUCAGUAUGGCAGAUGUUGAAUGGGUGUUAAGCUUUGAUUGAAUAUGUAUACGCCCGAGAAACCAAGUUAGAUAUAACAGGUGCCUUUGUGAGGCCUUAGGUAUAGGCCUUGAGACUUCCUGUCAAACUAAACCAGCGCUUGGAUGUAUCAUAUUUGGUCUUUUAUGGUUGCCAGAGUCUUAUCACUAUUAUACUUUUGAUUAUCUGAAUCCAAAAGGUAGGACGAACCCAAAUGAGUGCCUUUGUAGGGCCUUAGGUAUAGGCCUUGAGGCUUCCCAUCAGAGUUAAUCCUUAUACUCGGACCAAUUAGACCACAACAUGAAAUUAAGCUAAAUAGAUGCCUUCGUGGGGCCUUAGGUGUAGGCCUUGAGGCUUUCUAUCAGAAUUCACUCCCUGCUUAAGCCUUUUCUACGAAUCAAGAUAUAAUAGCAACAAAACGGAGAAAUAGAUUAAUUACUUGCGCCCCAAGUAACUUCGGACUUCUCGCUUAUCAAGGAUUGUCGUGGAUGGGUUGAGUCCACAUAGAGUUCUUUUUUAUGCCUUGAGGCCAAGGACUUUUAAACUGAUCUUUAAAUUACACGCCCGCCGGGCUUAAGACUUAGAUCUGAUUUGAACUUUGACACGAUUCAGAUCGGAUCCAAGUGCUGAAGACUUAUUUUCAUUAUGACUUUGCUAGAAAUAACUUGUAUAUAACUGGGAAUAUAUAACAUGUUAUUGUGCUUUUAAAAGAAAGAAAAGACAAAGACAGAGCAAAGAUAGUCGGGUAAGUCUGAACCUUAUCGGCCAAGGCUGAACUUCUUACAAAAUCUAUCUUUGUGGCUCUGUCAGAGGUCUGAAAGCUUUUAGAGGGGUUGACGGGGGAGAAGAGGAUACAAAAUGAAUCGAUACCACCAUGAACAAGGUAGCAGAGCUAUUACAGGGGUUUGGGAAGGUUUAUCCCGAAUGGGAUGAAGGCUUGUGCUGACUACAGCUUCGUUGAAGGCAAAUCUGGCUUGAGCAGAGUUUUGGCUUUUGUUUGUUUGUUUGAGUGUCCUUAAUUCUGUCUUCUCUUCCUCCUUUUAUAGACGACUUCAGCUUGGGCUCCUGUAGCAAUAGCGGUUGCCCGAAUGCGGUUUGGUGAUGACUCACUAGCUUUUUUACAUGAAUGUCACCAAUAAAGUACUUUAUUGGGCUGUGCAGUGACUGAAUAACCUACCCCCUGUGGUCUUUGAGCAGGUAAGCAGGUGGCCUUUGUAACUUGUGCCCAGCCGAAAGCCUCUUUCCUGCCUCCUAAGUUUUCCUCUGGGCCUUGGGUUUGGGCCGGCUUUCUCUCUGGCCCAAAGUUCAGAUUUUAUUCCAAACAUUCUCUUUAUCAUAUUAAUAUUCAUAACUCCUCUUUUGCUAUAAGCCAUCGUCGUCUCCGCCGCAUAGCUUGCUCCGCCACCGCGACGCCUUCUCCCCUCUCUGUCAAAGUAAAGUUUCCAUCUUUUUUCAUAUAAUUCUCCAAAUAUCCAAUCUUUACUUGUUCUUCAAUUCUCUGAAUCUGUUUUCAAUUUUUUCUUUGAUUUUCUCUGGUGCCAAACAAAUCGCUGCUCUCCUACUAUUUAAAUUUUGUGUCUUUCAAUUGGCUUUGGUUUGUUGCAUUGGAUCUCAGAUUCGGAUUCGAGGAUUGCGAGCUUAAUUACAUAUGUUUUUGUUCAUUGCUAUGAAUAUUUUGAUUUAUCGAUGUGUGAGUGGUUGUGGAAACAAAUUGCGGAUUUAGGAAGAACCGAUCCUGGCCCUUGUAGAUGAGGAAGAACCAGUCAUCGACAUCUGCAGUACCCGAGAUGGCGUCGUUGUAUAUUACCCCAAAGCGGAGAUCGGUCUGGAGGAGGGAGUGCAUCAUAGUAGAACUCGAAUAUCUGGAGGGGGAGGAUGGCGCCCGGGAAAAGGACAAGGGGCAAGGGGAAAAUGGGGAGCUCAACGACGUCGCCUGAUUUGGGUUGAUUGGUGGGGUGGCGCUCAGAGAAUGAGGAGGCUAUGCAUUUGAGGGAUUCGGGUCAUUGGCGGCGGCGGCGAUGGAGGCGGGAGGGGGGGGAGGAUAUUAGGGUUAGGGUUUAAGGGGGAC